ACUUUCUUGCAAAAAUGCCUGUUUGGGAUUCCUCAGAGUACAGACAAAAAGGAAGGCUUGAUCAGCAUGUGGUGGAUCUGAAGAUUCAAAGAGGUGCCACAGCUCAAAAGUAGACAUUUUGGUAAAUGUGAAGAAGUGAGAUUCAAUGAAGAUGAUAAGAAAUGAAAAGUGUUACCAAAAGCAUCCUGUGGUGACUGAAGAAGGGCCUACCAGCGAAGGGACUCCAUCGCCUGAGGAGCAGCUUCCGCAGGAGCUCCGGCAGGUUCCUUGGAAAACGUGGCAGUGCCGGGCCCAUGGUGCCCUGUUCAGAAAUACAAGACUCAGAUUUAGUAAAGCCAGUUGUGUAAUGUGAAA
ensembl:lncRNA novel transcript